GCAUAUCAAUAAGCGGAGGAAAAGAAACCAACAGGGAUUGCCUCAGUAACGGCGAAGUGAAGCGGCAAGAGCUCAAAUUUGAAAGCUGGCCCCUUCGGGGUCCGCAUUGUAAUUUGCAGAAGGAUGCUUCGGGUGCAGCCCCCGUCUAAGUGCCCUGGAACGGGCCGUCAUAGAGGGUGAGAAUCCCGUCUGGGACGGGGUGUCUGCGUCCGUGUGAAGCUCCUUCGACGAGUCGAGUUGUUUGGGAAUGCAGCUCUAAAUGGGUGGUAAAUUUCAUCUAAAGCUAAAUACUGGCCGGAGACCGAUAGCGCACAAGUAGAGUGAUCGAAAGAUGAAAAGCACUUUGAAAAGAGAGUUAAACAGCACGUGAAAUUGUUGAAAGGGAAGCGUUUGCGACCAGACUCGCCCGCGGGGUUCAGCCGGCAUUCGUGCCGGUGUACUUCCCCGUGGGCGGGCCAGCGUCGGUUUGGGCGGCCGGUCAAAGGCCCUCGGAAUGUAUCACCUCUCGGGGUGUCUUAUAGCCGAGGGUGCAAUGCGGCCUGCCCGGACCGAGGAACGCGCUUCGGCUCGGACGCUGGCGUAAUGGUCGUAAAUGACCCGUCUUGAAACACGGACCAAGGAGUCUAACAUCUACGCGAGUGUUCGGGUGUCAAACCCGUACGCGCAGUGAAAGCGAACGGAGGUGGGAGCCCCCUCGUGGGGCGCACCAUCGACCGAUCCUGAUGUCUUCGGAUGGAUUUGAGUACGAGCGUAGCUGUGGGGACCCGAAAGAUGGUGAACUAUGCCUGAAUAGGGCGAAGCCAGAGGAAACUCUGGUGGAGGCUCGCAGCGGUUCUGACGUGCAAAUCGAUCGUCAAAUUUGGGUAUAGGGGGCGAAAGACUAAUCGAACCAUCUAGUAGCUGGUCUGC
rnacentral:rRNA from 1 species